rnacentral:rRNA from 1 species
UACGUAGGGUGCGAGCGUUGUCCGGAAUUAUUGGGCGUAAAGAGCUUGUAGGCGGUUUGUCGCGUCUGCCGUGAAAAUCCGGGGCUCAACCCCGGACUUGCGGUGGGUACGGGCAGACUAGAGUGUGGUAGGGGAGACUGGAAUUCCUGGUGUAGCGGUGAAAUGCGCAGAUAUCAGGAGGAACACCGGUGGCGAAGGCGGGUCUCUGGGCCGUAACUGACGCUGAGGAGCGAAAGCGUGGGGAGCAAACAGG